GGGGUCGUAGUUCAGUCGGUUAGAACGCUGGCCUGUCACGCCAGAGGUCGCGGGUUCGAGUCCCGUCGGCCCCGCCA
rnacentral:tRNA from 1 species